rnacentral:rRNA from 1 species
AGAGUUUGAUCCUGGCUCAGGACGAACGCUGGCGGCAUGCCUAAUACAUGCAAGUCGAACGCUGAAACACUCUGCUUGCAGAGUGUGGAUGAGUGGCGAACGGGUGAGUAACACGUGGGGAAUCUGCCUAUAAGUGGGGGAUAACAUUCGGAAACGGAUGCUAAUACCGCAUAUAUUCAAAAACCGCAUGGUUCCUGAAAGAAAGACGGCUUUGCUGUCGCUUAUAGAUGAUCCCGCGGCGUAUUAGUUAGUUGGUGGGGUAAUGGCCUACCAAGACCAUGAUACGUAGCCGACCUGAGAGGGUGAUCGGCCACACUGGGACUGAGACACGGCCCAGACUCCUACGGGAGGCAGCAGUAGGGAAUCUUCCACAAUGGGUGCAAACCUGAUGGAGCAAUGCCGCGUGAAUGAAGAAGGUCUUCGGAUCGUAAAGUUCUGUUAUUAGAGAAGAACAAGUCAAGGAGUAACUGUCUUGACUUUGACGGUACCUAACCAGAAAGUCACGGCUAACUACGUGCCAGCAGCCGCGGUAAUACGUAGGUGACAAGCGUUGUCCGGAAUUAUUGGGCGUAAAGGGAGCGCAGGCGGUUGGAAUAGUCUGAUGUGAAAGCCCACGGCUUAACCGUGGAAGGUCAUUGGAAACUGUCCAACUUGAAUGCAGAAAGGUAAGUGGAAUUCCUGUGUAGCGGUGAAUGCGU